UGAUAAUAUUAUUAUAAGGUACCUCCAUAUCUGUAAAGAAGGUUAUGCAUUAUAUAAUUGAGUAAACAACAACACGCAGAUGGUAAGAGUCUUUAUUCACCUACAUCACUUCACGUCUCAAACAAAAGAAAACAUAAAAACAUAUCACGAUUCGGCCAAUAGCAACGUCUCCAGCUCUGCCUUCUCUCUUUUAUUGGUUAACAACACGUGUCAAUCAUGUGUCAACAAUCUAAGCAGUCUCUUCAUUGCUCCACAGCUGUCAAUCACUGUUCCAUCAGCCAAUGGUACGCUGCAGUGCCGGGGACUGGGGGAGGGGCAUGAUGUCAUCGUCUAGGCUCGGGAUUGGCUCAGCUUAAACUGUGAGAUUUGGAGGGGAGGGGCCAUGUCAGCAAAACAGGUAGUAGUCGUAAUGUUUUACAUCAAAGUAUAGGCGUAAUAAUUUUGUACAUCAACUCAAGAGGAAUCAGUAAUGGCUUCAUAAGAUUUAGUAGAAUUAUUCCCCAUUGCAGAAUUUCCACCAUGGACUAAGAGACAGUGUCAUCCACAGCUGAGAACAACACAACUACAACUAACCCCAACACGAUUAAUCUCUUACGCAAUUAACCCAAGCAAAACUAAACCCAAUACAACUCACCCCAAACAAACUAACCCAAACACAACUGGCCCCAAACAAACUAACCCCAACACAACUAGCCCCUUACACAACUAACCAAAACAGGACUAACAAACACAACUUACCCAAACACAACUAACCUUAACAUAACUUACCAAACACAUCGAGCCCUAACAACAAACCUAAAUAACCAAAACACAACUAGCCCUAAUACCCAACAUAACUAGCCGCACACAACUAACCUCUAACACAACUCACCAUAACAUAACUAACUCUAAACCAAAUAACCCCUUACACAACUAACCCUAAACCACCUCCUAACCCCUUAAACAAUUAACUAUUGCACAACUAACCCUAAACCAACUAACCGUAACACAACUGAUGCAGCGUGCGUUCCAAAUCAUGCAGAAAACAAUUUAUAUUUCAG
ensembl:lncRNA